AAGCAACCGCGCGAUCCAGUCGCCCAAUUCCCUCGUUUUACAGAAGCAACCGACACUCAGAGAGGUUUUGAUUUGCCCAGGGUCACACAGCUUGUCACUGGCACAGCUGACCCUAGUCUCCAGACUUUCAGCACACGGCCUUUUGUACAGUACAUCAAUGCGUGUUGAAAUCCUUGUUAUUUCACUAUCUCGCAUUCCUUUGGUCUCAAGACUAGAGAAAGUAACAGCUUCAGCUUCAGAAUCGGAGCGAAAAUUCUUCUGUCCCCUGACUGGCUGUUGUGACCUUGAGCGAGUAAACAUAACGGUCCCACGUGAGCGGCAGGUGAAAAUUACCAGUCCAGGCAUGUUCAGAAUUGUAUAUAUCGCAGAAAGACAUAAUUGCCAAUAUCCAGAAAACAUUCUAUCUUUUAUCAAAUGUGUGAUUCAUAACUUUUGGAUACCAAAGGAAUCUAACGAAAUAACCAUAAUCAUCAAUCCAUACAGGGAGACUGUGUGCUUCUCUGUGGAGCCUGUCAAGAAGAUAUUUAACUAUAUGAUACAUGUGAAUCGAAACAUCAUGGAUUUCAAACUCUUCCUUGUGUUUGUGGCAGGAGUUUUUCUUUUCUUUUAUGCAAGGACCCUGAGUCA
rnacentral:sRNA from 1 species